GACGAACGCUGGCGGCGUGCUUAACACAUGCAAGUCGAACGGAAAGGCCCUGCUUUUGUGGGGUGCUCGAGUGGCGAACGGGUGAGUAACACGUGAGUAACCUGCCCUUGACUUUGGGAUAACUUCAGGAAACUGGGGCUAAUACCGGAUAGGAGCUCCUGCUGCAUGGUGGGGGUUGGAAAGUUUCGGCGGUUGGGGAUGGACUCGCGGCUUAUCAGCUUGUUGGUGGGGUAGUGGCUUACCAAGGCUUUGACGGGUAGCCGGCCUGAGAGGGUGACCGGCAACAUUGGGACUGAGAUACGGACCAGAAUCCUACGGGAGGCAGCAGUGGGGAAUAUUGCACAAUGGGCGGAAGCCUGAUGCAGCAACGCCGCGUGCGGGAUGACGGCCUUCGGGUUGUAAACCGCUUUCGCCUGUGACGAAGCGUGAGUGACGGUAAUGGGUAAAGAAGCACCGGCUAACUACGUG
rnacentral:rRNA from 1 species